AAAAAGACAAACCAUGGUUUCCGUGUCCAACGUUUAACCGUUCGUCUUAUUUGAAAAAAUUAUGAAGAAAAUUAAAAAGAUAAGUCACGUAUAAAGUAUUAAUCAUGCUUUAUCAUCUAACAACAAUGAAAAUACUAAUUAUAAAAAAAUUUCAUAUAAGACGGACAGUUAAACGUUGGCACGGGAACCUACGGUUUGCCUUUUU
rnacentral:pre_miRNA from 1 species